rnacentral:rRNA from 1 species
GUAGGUGGCAAGCGUUGUCCGGAAUUAUUGGGCGUAAAGCGCGCGCAGGCGGUCCUUUAAGUCUGAUGUGAAAGCCCACGGCUCAACCGUGGAGGGUCAUUGGAAACUGGGGGACUUGAGUACAGAAGAGGAAAGCGGAAUUCCAAGUGUAGCGGUGAAAUGCGUAGAGAUUUGGAGGAACACCAGUGGCGAAGGCGGCUUUCUGGUCUGUAACUGACGCUGAGGCGCGAAACGCGUGGGGAGCAAACAGGAUUAGAUACCCUGGUAGUCCACGCCGUAAACGAUGAGUGCUAAGUGUUAGGGGGUUUCCCGCCCCCUUAGUGCUGCAGCUAACGCAUUAAGCACUCCGCCUGGGGAGUACGGCCGCAAGGCUG